CAUGUGAUGCUACAACCCAACUGGGGGAUCGCUCGGCUCGAGUGCCGAUGAAGGUCGUGACAAGCUGCGAUAAGCUGCGGGGAGACGCAAGAAUGUCUUGGAUCCGCAGAUGGCUGAAUGGGACUUCCUGUAUCUUCGGAUACAAUCGCGAAUGCGAUAGGGAACCCCCCGAAUUGAAGCAUCUUAGUAGGGGGAGGAAAUGAAAUCAACAGAGAUUCCGUGAGUAGUGGCGAAUGAAAACGGAAUAGGACAAGCCGAAUCCCGACUCGAAAGUGAGGGAGAUGUGGUUUGCAGUCUAUCAUCUAAGUCAGAGAAGGUGAAGUUGCCUGGAACGGCACAGCCAAAGAGGGUGAAAGUCCCGUAACCAUACCUGAUAUGAUCACGUGACUGUAAAAGAGUAGCGUGCGCUGGAAAUCGCGCGUGAAUGUGGGAGGCAGAAACUUCCAAUCCUAAAUACAACUCGAGACCGAUAGUUUACAAGUAACGUGAGUGAAAGCUGAAAAGUAUCCUUGGCGGGAUGUGAAAAGAUCGUGAAACCAGUUGGGUACAGGCUGACAAGGCGUGAAAGCGAUGAUAUGAGCAGCGUCUUGUCGUGCGUUUAGAAAAAUGCCCCAGGGAGUUUUGAUCAUUGGCGAGGUUAAGCGGUUGAACCGCGUAGCCGAAGGGAAACCGACAAGUCCGCAGCAGUUUACUGUGAGGGACGAAGUGUGCUCGCUUGGAGUCAAUGGUGGAAGACCUGAAGCCCGUCGAUCUAUGCCUGGCCAGAUUGAAGCCCGAUGAAAGUUGGGUGGAGGAUCGCACCGUUGCUGAUCUGCAAAUCGCUCGGACGAGCUGGGUAUAGGGGUGAAAGUCCAAUCGAGAUGGGCAAUAGCAGGUUCCGCGUGAAACUACUCGUAGGUAGACGUUAGUGGAGAUUGAUUACGCUGUAGAGCACUGAUUGUGCGUUUAGGGGGAGCAAUUCCUCGGCGUGCUGCCAAACUCCGAAGGUGUAAUCGUUGUAGAUACUAGCAGUGAGUGAUGGUGGGUAAGCUACCAUUACGUAAGGUGAACAAACCAGCCUGAAGUUAAGGUCCCUAAAUAUCAGUUAAGUGUCACAGACAAACCGUGUCCGUGGUCGAAAACAACCAGAAGGUGGGCUUAGAAGCAGCCAUCCUUGAAAGAGUUCGUAACAGAUCACUGGUCUAGCUUGCGGGCCGGGAAAAGGGACGGGGCUCAAACUGAUUACCGAUACUUCAGACCAUCGUAAGAUGAUGUGGUAACGCGGCGUCGUGCUUGGGUGGAAGGUAGGCUGUGAAGUCUACUGGACCGGGUACGAAUGAGAGUCUUGGGAAGAGUAGCAGCACAGUGUGGUGAGAAUCCGCACCGCCUUAUAAACCAGGGUUCCUCGGCACUGUUUAUCAGCCGAGGGUUAGCCGGUCCUAAGGUCAUUCUUAACCGAAAUGAUCGAAAGGGAAUAGCGUUAAUAUUCGUUAGCCUCUCGUACAAUAAUGGCGACGGCUUGGGCAAAGCAUUCAGACCAUAUGCCAGGUCUGUCUGUACUAAAUUCUUGGAGAACUGUCACAGUGAGAAGAGAAUAAAGUCCCAGGUCCCAUGAAAAGCCGUACGAAGAGACCGUACCGAGAACUGAAACAGGUGUUUUAGGGUGAGUAGCCUAAGGCGUAUCGGAUACAAGUAUCGCGAGGGAACUCGGCAAAAUGGCUCCGUAACUUCGGGAGAAGGAGUGCCAGAUCAGAGAUGAUCUGGUCGCAGUGACUAGGGAGCUCCGACUGUUUAAUAAAAACAUAGGGGACUGCCAGAUCGAAAGGUUGUGUAUAGUCCCUGAAUCCUGCUCAGUGCUGGUAUCUUAAAUCGGGUUUCAACCUGACGAAGGACCAGUAAACAGCGGGGGUAACUAUGACCCUCUUAAGGUAGCGUAAUACCUUGUCGCUUAAUUGGCGACUUGCAUGAAUGGUCCAACGAGGGCUCCACUGUCCCCGCGAUACGUCCGGCGAAAUUGACUUUACUGGCGCACAGUCCAGUACAUUCUACCCGCAAGCGAAGACCCCAUAGAGCUUUACUGCAGCCUGUCGUUGCAUAGUCGCUUUCCAUGUACUGUGUAGGUGGGAGACGUUGAUCCCUGGGACGCCAGUCCCGGGAGUAGUUGAAAGGAGAGACACCACCCUUGGAGAGUAACUAUGCUAACUGUUUAUCAGGACACCGAUUGGUGGGCAGUUUGGGUGGGGCGCCACGCGCUCGAAAACCUAACAAGCGUGCCCAAAGGUCAGCUUAAGUGGUUCAGCACUCCACUGGAAACUGUAAGGGGAAAAGCUGGCUUGACGUGGAUCCGCACAAUAAGGAUCGACGAUGCGAAAGCAGGGCCUAACGAACCUACCAACCUUAUUUCUGAGGGUGGUAGAUAACAGAAAAGUUACCUUGGGGAUAAUUGAGUUGUCACCAGCAAGAGCUCACAUCGACCUGGUGGCUUGCUACUUCGAUGUCGUCUCUUCCUAUCCUGGGCCUGCAGCAGGGCCCAAGGGUGGGGUUGUUCGCCCAUUAAAAGGGAUCGUGAGAUGGGUUUAGACCGUCGUGAGACAGGUUUGUUGCUUGGUGGUAGAAUCGCGUAAGGUGUCUGAUGGAAGGGGCCCUUUAGUACGAGAGGAACGAGGGCUCGGGGCCACUAGUUUACCAGUUGUCUGGCAAGGCAAUGCUGGGUAGCCACGCCCUGAUGGAUAAGAGCUGAAAGCAUCUAAGCUCGAAGCCGCCCCAGAGACGAGACACCUCAGAACGCUCGUAAAAGACGAGUUUGAUAGACUGCGGAUGUAAGUACGAAGCUUCGGCGACGUAUUCAGUCCAGCAGCACUAACUGUUCGAGCAUCUUUUU
rfam:Tncultured marine group II euryarchaeote EBAC37F11, BAC clone 37F11, partial sequence.